AACGCCUGUCGCAGAUCUCUCCCUCCCCUGGAGUGAUCCGGAGCGAAAGCCCCUCCCCAGGCUUAGCUCCACCAGCCCCGCCGGCCCCCCCUGCCAGCGGGGCUUUUUA
rnacentral:sRNA from 1 species